rnacentral:snRNA from 1 species
GUGCUUCUUUCAGUGGCACAUAUACUAAAAUUGGGCCAAUACAGAGGAGAGUAGCAUGGCCCCUACAAAAGAUAUAACAUGCAAAUUCAUGAUUCAUCCCAAAUUUUU